UACGGAGGGUGCAAGCGUUAUCCGGAAUGAUUGGGCGUAAAGCGUCCGCAGGUGGCUGUGUAAGUCUGCUGUUAAAGAGUCUAGCUCAACUAGAUACAAGCAGUGGAAACUACACGGCUAGAGUACGUUCGGGGCAGAGGGAAUUCCUGGUGUAGCGGUGAAAUGCGUAGAGAUCAGGAAGAACACCGGUGGCGAAGGCGCUCUGCUAGGCCGUAACUGACACUGAGGGACGAAAGCUAGGGGAGCGAAUGGG
rnacentral:rRNA from 1 species